rnacentral:rRNA from 1 species
CGUGGCCAACCUGCCCUUGGGACGGAAGCACCCCCGGGAAACUGGGGCUAAUUUCCGAUAGGGGAAGACUCCUGGAAUGGAUUUUCGCCUAAAAGGCGCUUAGAGCAUGCUUCUAGGUGUUGCCCAAGGAUGGGGCCGCGGCCGAUCAGGUUGUUGGUGAGGUAACGGCUCACCAAGCCUUUAACCGGUGCGGGCCGUGGGAGCGGGAGCCCGGAGAUGGGCACUGAGACAAGGGCCCAGGCCCUACGGGGCGCAGCAGUCGCGAAAACUUCGCAAUAAGCGAAAGCUUGACGGGGCUAUCCCGAGUGCCAUCCGCUGAGGAUGGCUUUUCCCUAGUAUAGAUAGCUGGGGGAAAAAGGAGAGGGCAAGUCUGGUGUCAGCCGCCGCGGUAAUACCAGCUCUCCGAGUGGUGGGGAUAAUUAUUGGGCCUAAAGCAUCCGUAGCCGGCUGGGCAAGUCCCCUGUUAAACCCAGCGAUCUAAUCGUUGGCCUGCGGGGGAUACUGCUUGGCUAGGGGGCGAGAGAGGCCGUCGGUAUUCCCGGGGUAGGGGUGAAAUCCUAUAAUCCCGGGAGGACCACCAGUGGCGAAGGCUGUCGGCUAGAACGCGCCCGACGGUGAGGAAUGAAAGCUGGGGGAGCGAACCGGAUUAGAUACCCGGGUAGUCCCAGCUGU